rnacentral:rRNA from 1 species
GACGAACGCUGGCGGCGUGCUUAAUACAUGCAAGUCGAACGGAAAGGCCCUGCUUUUGUGGGGUGCUCGAUUGGCGAACGGGUGAGUAUAACGUGAGUAUAAUGCACUUGACUUUGGGAUAAAUUCAGGAAAAAGGGGCUAUUAUCGGAUAGAAGCUCCUGAUGCAUGGGGGGGGACGGUAAGAUUCGGCGGUUGGGGAUGGACUCGCGGCUUAUCCGCUUGAUGGUGAGGUAGUGGCUUACCAAGGCUUUGACGGGUAGCCGGCCUGGGAGCGUGACCGGCCUCAAUGGGACUGAGAGACGCCGCAGACUCCUACGGGACGCAGCAGUGGGGAAUAUUGCACAAUGGGCGGAAGCCUGAUGCAGCAACGCCGCGUGCGUAAUGCCGUCCUUCGAGGGGUGAACCGCUGUCUCCUGAGACGAAGCGUGAGUGACGGUAAUUGGUAAAGAAGCACCGGCUAACUACGUG